GCUCGAGGAUCGACCGAGCAGGCCUGCUGGCGCUGGGUCGGAACUGCUUGGGCGGUGACUGGGAGGCGGGAAAGAGCGCUGUGCGGCGCUCCACUGCCUAGCCUGGCGGGAACUGCGGGGCCCGCGCCGGCCGAUCCCACCUGUGGGGCUGCGCGGCCCAGUGCACUCUGCCUGGCACAAUAGACGUGAAUCACCGCAAGGAGGAACUGGCCUUGUUGGAGCAGAAGGUCACUGGGCCCCAUCCUCCCACUGCUGCUCGAAAAAUAUGCAUAACACGUAGUGCCGCAGUCGCUGCUGGGAUUGAAUACGUUCAAGCAUAGAUUUUGUGGCCUUGUUACCCAAAAGGCUCCUGGCUUCUCUCCUUGACUGAAGAUUUCCUAAAGAGGUCAUAACUCUAGAAUACAGUUCAUCUGGCACAUUUCUGAAAUUCCAAGUGCAACCUGCGACCCGAUGCCUUACAUCAAGUACUUCUAAGAGAUUGUGUCAAGAUUUGAGAGCAAAAAGGUAGAACUUCAUUAGAAAUGCUCUGAGAAAUAGUCUAACAAGACUUUCUGCCAGUUUACCUUCCUGACUAAUGAAAAUCACCUACAACAAGCAAUAACUCAUCAAACUCAUCAACUACCACUACUAAACAUCAAGGGGAACCUAAUACUGCCAACUGAGAUAACUGUGCAGAUCCAUCUGGAAAGCAUCAUUGGUGUCUGAGUUCACUCAAAACUGUCCUGCUCAGGCAGACUUCACCUUGAGUGCUAAUAUCCAAAGUUUGUGAUCCGUGUCACUGGAAGGCAACGGAUUCUAUCUUGUACGGACUGCUUUUUAAGAGCUGAGACUGGGCUUAGCAUUCAAGGAAGAAGAAAGAACUGGCCUUGAAGAAAUGUCUCUGAGGCAUGUGGAAUAGACCUCCAUUUGUAUAGCUAAACUAAAUCUGUUGACAUUAAUAGAAUUCUACUCAAUUGCUUCUCUUCACAUCUAUUUAAUGCUAGUAGGUUUAUUUACCAUUUAAUGUACUGAACUCUCACAAGCUUAUUUAAUUAGAGCAUUAUUAUUUGUUUAUAAGGCAUUCUUCCCUUACUAUUACAUAUUUUAUUAGACACAGAGGCUCCAAGUGGCACUCCUGUCCCCAUUGUCAAAUUUACUUUUUCAAGUUUAAAGUCUGAAGUAAGCUAGCUCUGUUACAAGAACUAACUGUGCUUUUAAUGACAUUUCGUGCUGUUCUUUCUUGUUGACUGAUUGUGCCGCCUUGCAACAAAAAUGUCUUUAGAUAAGUGGUGUUGCCCUGAUUGUAAAGAGCCAUCUCUCCCUACUCUAGCUUUAGGACAUUGGUUACAACAGACUAGGCUUGUUCAAAAUGAUUAUUCCGAAGGUGACCUAGAUCGAAUGUUUAGAGCUAGCUUUUGCCCUCAAUGUCACCAUGCAAUUGUAGGCCUUACUCAGCCUCCUUUUCCAAUUGAGUGGGCGCCCUCAAACUUUACCAGGUGGACCCAAGAGAAGGCCUUCCAUCCCAUUCACCAGGGCCCUCCACUAGUUAGAAAACCUAUUUAUCAGUCCAAACUGGUUACAUUUAAUGCACCAUUACAUUUCAUUUUGUCCAGGACCAGUAAGGUCCUAGACCAGAGGCUUGGUGGUUACAUUGAAAUGGCAGCUGAAAGACAAAUAACUUUGACCACUUCUUCAACUCGUUUACUGGAUGAUUCUACACCUGAGGGUUCUCCUACAGUGGAUGCAGACCUAGUAUCCUUACCUGAUGAUUUUAUUCCUGAAGAGCUUUUUACGGAGAACUCAGACACUUUUAACUAACCCCACUCUGCUAAACAUCUAGUUCUAGCUCAGUCCGUUGCCCCUUUCUACAUUCCUAAGUCUGUUACACUUGCAAUUACUGCGAUGAAAAAUGUAAUCCAGGUAUAGUUUCUAAAUCUAGACUUUAAAAGUAUUAUUUAGGACUAACAAGUAAUUCUAACACCAUGAAG